rnacentral:rRNA from 1 species
UCGUUGCAACAAAUUGAUGAGCAAUGCUUUUUUAUAAUGCCAACUUUGUACAAAAAAGCAGGCUCCGAAUUCGCCCUUGGUUGAUCCUGCCGGACCCCACUGCUAUCGGGAUAGGACUAAGACAUGCUAGUCAAGCGCUCGCCAGCCAAAGGUGAGUGCGGCGCACAGCUCAGUAGCACGUGGCUAACCUGCCCUUGGGAUAGGGACAACCCCGGGAAACUGGGGCUAAUCCCCAAUAGGCGAAGAACUCUGGAAUGAGUCUUCACCCGAAAGGAUGUCUGCGCCAUGCUCGCAGGCUUCGCCCAAGGAUGGGGCCGCGACCGAUCAGGUUGUUGGUGAGGUAACGGCUCACCAAGCCUAUAACCGGUGCGGGCCGUGGGAGCGGGAGCCCGGAGAUGGGCACUGAGACAAGGGCCCAGGCCCUACGGGGCGCAGCAGUCGCGCAAACUUUGCAAUACACGCAAGUGUGACAGGGCUAUCCCGAGUGCCGUCCGCUGAGGAUGGCUUUUACCCAGUCUAGAAAGCUGGGGGAAUAAGGAGAGGGCAAGUCUGGUGUCAGCCGCCGCGGUAAUACCAGCUCUCCGAGUGGUGUGGAUGUUUAUUGGGCCUAAAGCAUCCGUAGCUGGCCAAGUUAGUCCCUUGUUAAACCCACCGAAUUAAUCGUUGGAUUGCGGGGGAUACUGCUCGGCUAGGGGACGAGAGAGGCAGACGGUAUUUUCGGGGUAGGGGUGAAAUCCUAUAAUCCCGGGAAGACCACCAGUGGCGAAGGCUGUCUGCUAGAACGCGCCCGACGGUGAGGGAUGAAAGCUGGGGGAGCGAACCGGAUUAGAUACCCGGGUAGUCCCAGCUGUAAACGAUGCACGCUAGGUGUUUGGACGGCCACGUGCCGUUCUAGUGCCGCAGGAAAGCUGUUAAGCCUGCCGCCUGGGGAGUACGGUCGCAAGAUUGAAACUUAA